GCGAAAAGGCACUCUGUUAUUUUCGGUACGGACGACAAUUUUCCGUUAACACAUUCUCCGCGAAUUCCAAAAAUAUCCCCACUGUCCCGCUCUUAACAAGCUGGUAAAUCACGUAAUUAUCUCCAACUUUGAGGGGCAAAUUCUGUUCCCUCAGUCCUCACACCCUUCUUCUCUUCUUCCAUUCCUCUGUUUCCCAUACAGCAGGAAAAUGUCAGUACGAAAUCGAAAUUUCUAUAUAGUACUAAAUGAUUUCACAAAUAGGAUUACUGUGAGCUGCAAAAAAUGAACUGUCAAAUGCAAACGAUGAAUGUGGAUAAACACUUUUCCGGCGCCGGCGAGGAAGUUUCGGCGGGAAAUGAUGUGGCGGUUGGAAAUUUUCCGGUUGGGUACGGAGGUGGGGUGGGUAGUGUUAAGGUCACGAUGCCUCAUUACACAGUUUGUAGUGCUUCUGAUGUCGUUGCUCUGCAAAAUCGAGAGGCUAAGUUUGAUCAACUCACUAUAUCGUUUCGUGGCAAAAUUUAUGUUUUUGAUGGUGUUACUACUCAUAAGGUGAGCACUUUUUAAUUGUUUUAAUUGUGUAAUUUGUGAAGUGUAUGUAUAAGUUGAGGAUCAGUAUAAAAAUGCUUUAAGAUUUUUUUUUUUUUUUUUGAUAAACCAUGGUGUCCGGGCUAGCUUUUGCACGCCACAACUAAUUCCAAGCUGUCAACCAAGCUAUGAAAGAUGAGGAAGAAAUCACUAGUGUUUUUGUCACUGUUGAGAUUUGAACGUUACAACUCAUGAUUCUCAAUCCAAUAGUAAUAAGAGUUGUAUGUACCUUAAGUUUAUAUAUGACACCAACUAAUUUGUAAUUGAGGUGCAGUUGGAUUGAUAUUGAUUCUUUUAUUCCCGGUAAUGUUUGAGGAUUUUUUUCUAUACUUCUUCUUUUUUCCAUAGAGAUUGUGCUAGUGUUAAUGUGUUUGGCGUGCUUAAAUGUGUUGAAACCGGUUUAAUUUUGAUCAUUCAGAUUGAAGAGCCAACACAUGAGAUUAAUGAUCAGUGUUUAUGGCGUAUCCUUAAAGUUUGUAGCUUGAUUGUCUCGAGGUUCAGGGCUUUUCUUUUCUUUUAUGCAAUAAAGGAAUUAUCUUUAGGGGUUUAGUGAGCAGGAUGGAUAUUGAUGAUUCAUAUAGGCGACUUCAGUUAGUUUGGAUUAUGUUGUAGUGGUAGUUGUUGGGCGGGGUUGAGAGAGGGGCGGUAUUGGAUGAACAAGAAACUUCUUGAUGAGCCUGCAAUAGUUAUUUAACUAAUUAUGUCUCUAUUGGCUUGUUUCUUAGCUUUACUCUUUAAAUGGGAAUGGAAAACUGACUAUUGCAUUUGGCUGGAUAUUUCUUUAAUCUGAUUGUGAAGCAUUAGGCUAACGAGUAACGAUGGUUCAUUGUCAUAGGUCCAUUCGCUUUUUCAACUUUUGGGUGGAUAUGAGUAUUGUCCAGGCACACAAGCUUUAGGUUUGUCGAGUGCAAACCAGAAGGUAUCCUUUUCUAUGCAAGUUUCUUCUUUUGGUUUGCAUCUGCAUCCUUGUAAUAUUUGGUGAUUUUUUGCCUUAGGACUAUGUGGACCAUCCAGUGCACUGUGCAGAUCCAAAAAGACUUGAAUCCCUCAUUAGAUUUUAUGAAAAGAGGAAAAAGAGAUGCUAUGAAAAGAAAAUCAGAUAUGGUAUCCGCCAAGAAGUUGCGUUCAGGUAAAUUGGCUGAUCUACUACUGCCUAAAUGGAACUUCUAUCUCCUCUUUUUUUGUUUCAGUAAGAGUAGAAUUCUAGCACUCCAAUGAACUUAUGCACAAGAUUGCUCUAUGAAAUUAAUCCCUAUCAGGACUGAUCAAUUUUUUGGCCCGGACACCACUGUCAUUAAAAAAAAAAGGCUGAUCAAACUUUGUCAACAAAACCAAAAGUUUUUAGAAUAUAUUGCAAUCACAUUUACAAUUCAAAGCUUUGCAUAUCAGGUUUACUUGACUUGAACUGGAUAAGUUCGUUCUGUUCACCUCCAUGACUUGAUGAAACCAUUAUCACUAAAUUAGUCUCCAUGAAACUAUUAUUACUAAUUACGUCUCCUUUUUUCUUAUAACAUAUGUGGGCUUGUGGUUAUCGUCCUCAUUUCUCAUAUUUUCUUAUUGGGAAACCAUGAUUCUGUUUUUUGCUCCUAAUUUGGACGGAAAAAUAACUCCUGCUGUAUUUCUCAUUCAGUUUCCUGUAACAUACAACUAUUUGAUUAUUACCCGAAUCUGAUGUUUGGAAACUUCUUCAUUCCAGAAUUUUCUCUCUUAUGAUUUUAAGUUAGGAAAUAAAGUAAUCAAGAAGAUAGUUUGCUUGAUUCAAUUAAGUGGGGAUGUCCAUCUCGAGCCUUAAAGAUUUGAAGUGGCUAUUUAAUAUGCUGGGAAAAACUCACUGAUUUACUUCUGUAGGUAAAAGAAGUGUGUUGAUUGUGUAGAUGUACUAUCUUUUAUAAUAGUCAUAUGGCAGCCUGCAACAACGCUGGAUUCGUUAAAAAGAAUUGCUUUAGAAAGUUGACUCUGACAAGUAACACUACUGAUGAAUUUGACAUUUCAUUCAUUACAUGUGUUUUAGUAUAAAAAUAAUGUGCAAGAAUUUCAUUGUUCUAAGAAAUGAAAUGCUGCAAUACGAUGCAAAACAUUACCUAAAUGACAAUAGCUCUUGCACGCGCGCACACACAUAUCUGCCACCUUCCACAGUUUCUUGUUCUUGUUUUAGCAGGUUGUGGAAUGUCAACAAAAAUAUGCAUGGCAGGUUUAACAGCUGUUCUUCUAUUCCAGUUUUUGAUUUCUUCUGCUUAUUAUUCACAUUUAUAAAUAAUCAGAAUGAAGCGUAAGAAUGGCCUAUUUGCUCGAAAAGGUUCUACUGGACCAAAACAGGACGACAUCCCUUCAGAAGAAACUCGGUAUGUUUUUGAAUAUGAGAAAUAGUUCUGCUUUUUUUCUUGAGAAUAAUAUCUUCUAAAAAAUUAGUUGAUGUGUAUGGUUUGGUUUGUAUUCAAAACUACUUUUGUAUGCAAGAAAUAUUUUGUUGAUGUUGGAUGCCUAAGCAAAUGUUAAUUCUAACUCUCUAUCUUGUUUCCUAGAUGCAUCCAUUGCGGAACUAGUUCAAAGGCCACCCCUAUGAUGAGGCGUGGUCCUGAUGGCCAAAGGAAUCUUUGCAAUGCAUGUGGGCUCACUUGGGCAAAUAAGGUUGGCAUGUACAUCAUCAAAACACUCAAAGGAUUACUCCUUCAUUUAGAUGUUCUUUUCUUUUUAAUAUAUUUUUACCUUUAUACAUCUGAACAACCAUAUAUCAUGUUAACUUACUUGCAUUUUGGUCUAUUUGGAAAGAAUGGUGUCCAUAUAUUGUAGGACUAGGACCUACAAAGUGCUCGUCUUCCAAUACCAAGUCUGAAAGCCUAAUCAAUCAAAUACUGCAAUGCAUGCAUAUGUAAAUUAUCGUUACAAAUUACCAUAGAAUGUUUGCUAUGCCCGCCUUUCCUAUGUUUGAUACAUGGCUCCUCUAGCAUUCUUUGUAACAAUUUCUUGUUAGGCAGAAAAAAGUUGCAAACUAUUGAUUCCUUACUUCUUGCUAUAUCAAUCUGCAGGGGAUAAUGAGGACUCUCUAUAAGGCAUCCUAUGACAAUACUGAGCUCGAACUAGAGGUAAUUGGUUUAUUUUAUUGCUGAAUAGCAAUCCUAUGUUGGUGUAAGAAUUGAAUGUUUCUAAAGCUGUUUUGCACGGCCUACUUCUUAAUCCAUGUAGGAUGAAGAUUGCAACAACACCGACUAUGGACCUCCUCCAUGUUCCGUCUCUUAUCAAGUUUCUUCAUCAGUCUGCCAGUGAUUCCUCGACUAAGACUUUGAUGCCUUAGAAAGAAAGCCAUACUAUAUCAACAUAUCUUCUUCUCAUCCAACUGAAAGAUUAUAUAUACAUACUACAGGUACAUUUCAUCACUAAAACUUUCUCAACAACUUGAUGACACGAUUGAGAACUAUCACAAAUUUUGUUCUUUUCUUUUGAAGUUUAUAUUGACAGAUUAACAACUUAGCUAAAAUUUGUUGGUUAAAGCAAAGGAUCUCUCUCAUGCACUUGUAUUUACCGGUGUUACUUGAAGUUCAAUAGGAAUUUGCAGUUUCUCGCAUCAAGACCUGAUAUAUUUAGCAGUCUUUUUAAUUUAUAUUGGAUCUUGUUACCUAUCUAGCAUUUAGAUUAAGCUUCUUUACUGAUGUAUAUCGAAUUUUGUCUCUUUGGAUAAUCAUAAUCUUAUUCUGAAGAAUGAUCAUAUGAUCUAUACUUCCACAUGUGAUGACUGAUGUAUAUUUUAUUUUUCAUAUUCCCUCCGAGGAGAGCCUUGGAACAACAGUAAAAUUGUCUCCGUGUGGCAUAUAGGUGAUAGGUCAUUAGUCCAUUUGAUGCUUGCAUUAGGUUGACUACAUCACGCCCCUAUGGGUGCAGCUCUUCCUCGAACCUCGCAUGAAAAUGGGAUGAUUCUUAUUUGUUUUUCUGUUUCAGCUUAGAAAUGCUAGACAAUGUAUUUAAUCAAAAUCAAUAUGUUUAGGCAUAUUAGUAGAAUUAAGUUGGAUGAAGACAGCAGGGAGAUACUGGAAAUGGUACAGUAUGUUUAUUUUAUUUUCAACAAUAUGGGGUUUGCAUUCUCUUUGGCCAUUAUACCCUUUAGAAAAAUGUAGAGAAGUAAAAAACACAUUAUCAUUAUAUGCAAACACAACAAAUUAAUUAAUCAGAGUUAUUUUAAGUGAAAGAUCAUUAUUUAUGACAUGUUUCAUUAAUCAAUUAGUUUGGUAUGAACAUGUUAAGUUUAUUUUUAUCUUUCUACUUUUUUUUACGUGUAGUUCAGUUGGAAAACUGCUCACAUCUUCGUUCUAGUGAUAGAGGUGGAGGUUUAAAUUCGUGUAUAUAUCCUUUUCAAAUCCCCACCCGCCUAACAGUGAAAAAAAACUAUUUACCAGUACAUCCACACACAAAAACACACGUGACCUUUAAUUAUCAUUUAAGUAGUCAAUUAUUAUAGUUUAGCAUAGACUUGGAUAACAUAGAGUAUUAUAUUUUUCAGAAAAAAAUAAUCAUGAGACCGACCACUUUCCCCAUACCUAAUUUAAUCAAGUAGCAACUUAUGCUUCCAAAUCUAAUCCAAGAUAUUCUCCACGUAUAAUCCUAUAAUAUAUUAUCCACUAAAAUAUAAUCCAAGAUUUUCUACGGAUAUAAUCCUAAAUGGUGGUAUUAAGGACAUGACACAAUUACAUCUUAUUAUUAAUAUUAUUACAGAUAUAAAGAUAUGGAAAAUAAGUAGUUGGGUCGAAUAUUAAAAUGUAAUAACAUUGUCUAAUUUAUUUUUUGAUUUUUCAUCGGUGUUCGGAACUCACAUUGAAGCUUCGACUAAUCUAGAUGGCGCUCUGCAAGAUAUUCGGAAGUGACGCUUCCAACAGAAUUUUCUUUGUAUUCAGAACUCGAACCCAAACCUCUAAUUAAGAAUGGUGCAGUCCCAUCACCACACCACAAUCCAUAUUAAUUUUAUUACUCAUUUAUUGUUGUGCGUUCUCUUCUUCAUUAUUUUCCACAUAUGUCUCCCACUAUUUACUUUACAUAGUUUAAUAUUUGCCCAAAUAGAGUCUCGCUGAGGAAAUUAAAUACCAAUGGCAGAAGCUGUAAAUUCAACCAUUUUCAAGGUGUGUUUUUGUUAAAAGGACUUUUGUCUCCUUCACACUUUCCUCGUCAUCCUUGUUAUCACCAUUCUCCGUCUCUCCUAAAGAUCAAACAAAACACUCUGUAUCUGAAUUUGAUCAUGAAAUUCGAAGGAGAAAUCCAUCACGAUUCAACUUAGGAGUUCAAAUUUUGCUAGUAAAUGAAGAAAUUUGGAUAUUUAUUUUAUUGUGGAUAGUGAUUUUUGUUGUAAAAUUAGCGUGAUUUUGAAGGAUUAGGUUAACGAUUUCAUGGCGUUUAUAUAGUAGAUAGGAGUAUCAUGAUGGCGGAGAAUCCACGGCCAUUGCAGGCGCGUCCGUAUGAGGAUCACGCGCCGCUGCCGUCGAUACGGAUGGUGGAGGAGGAAGAGGAGGAGGAGGACGAUGAUGACGGCGCAUAUGAGGAUGAUGGAGGAGAAGAGACUAUGGAUGAGGCUGAGGAUGUAAGCAUGAAGGUAUUGAAUCACCAUCAAUAUGGAGGACAGAGCCAACAGUUGUACGGAGGCGGAGGUGGAGUUGUGGAAGUUUCUAGAACAAGUGAGCUUACUCUUGCUUUUGAAGGUGAAGUCUAUGUUUUUCCUGCAGUCACUCCUGAUAAGGUAGUUUCUAUUUUUAGAUAGAUACUCCUAUUUAGUUGCUUUUUUCUAUUUUCUGUUUUUGGAACUUCCCAUCAAAUCAUAGAUUAGGUGCUUUACCUAUUUUAUUGUGCUUUUAGUUUAAAUGCAGUUGUUAUUUAAAUAUUAUCGUAUCUUAUUGUUAAAUCAUUGUUACCUAACGACGGAAAGUUUCAUUUUAAGUAACAACCGACCUCGUACCAUAUAUUCUUGUAGGUUUGUCCUUUAAAUUGUUGAUGUGUUGUGACAUUAUGUAACAACGGAAAAUAAUACAAUCUAUUCAAACGUUGUAUUAAUCAAAGUAAUACAGUACAAUAUAAUACGAUGGAUUAUGAAAUAAUAGGUAACAACUAUCCAAAGUUCCAAACAAAGUGUUUCGUUUCACCAGUAGAUACAAUACAAUGUUGUGUGCAAAUGUAGUGAAUUUUGAGUACACUCUUAGCUACUGACAUGAUGGUAACUCUGCAUAUACCCUUCGGGGUGGCCCAAUGGUUUGGGCUUGGGACUUCCAUGUUGGAGGUCUCAAGUUCGAAACCCCUUGCCAGCGAAAGCAAGGGGUUUGCCUUCUGGGUUGAGCUUGUCGCACCGGGCUUGCCUAGUGCGGGUUACCUAUCCUAUGUGGUUUGCAAGCUAUUGCAUAGGAGAGGAGGUUUUACCUUGUGCGCACCCAAAGGGUGGCGGCUGCGGGUUUCCCUUGUCAAAAAAAAAAAUGAUAGUAACUCUACAUAUUUUGUGCUCAGCGAAUUUUGUGUUGUUGUAGUACUGCUAUUUAUUGAUUAGUUGAAGUAUCGGACAUUGUUGAAGCGGGAUUAAAGAAUGAUUUGGGACAAAUUUUUAAUCUGUAUGUCUUAUUUAUUAUUUUUCAAAUGAUUUUGGUGACUGACUAACUUGGACGUACCAUGACUAACCCACCAAUUAGCCUACUACAGCACAUGAGUGCAACUUUUGCUCAAGUGUUGUAGCUGGGAGUCAAACCUUGGAUCUUGCAUGCCUCAACAUCAGCCACCCUCUUCAGGACAUAUUUAUGUCUUAUUUCCUUUAAGAACAUAUUUUGUCUUUAAUUCUCUACUUUAGUUUUCUACAUAUUUUUCUUGCAUAUCAAGGGCUUCUUGAUGAGGCAUCUGAGUUAAUUGUUACUUGGUUGUUUUUUGCUCUUUCAAUUCUGAUUUUCUGCCGCAAGAGUGUUUUUUGUUCGAUCCAUCUCUUAAAAACGGCCUACUAGUGAAAAAAAUUCAUUUCUAUCGUAAUUCUAAUGGAAUUUGUGAUUCUUUAAGUUUUCCAUCCCCCUUAUAGUCCGUUGGCCCUUGCCAGUCCAACUAUGGAAUGACAUAAUUUAUAGAAAUGGUGUCUGGCUAACUCUGCACUCUACAUCCUAGAAUUAAUUUGGAUAUAGUAACUUGGCUGAGAAUUUCCUUCUCUGUGCCCGUUUACUAGAUAUUACUCCAAAAGAAAAUUCUUGAGAAUAUAGCUGGGAAUUUUAUGUGUCAUUGCACCUUCUUUCCUGCUAUAUAAAGUUAGAAGCAGCUGCUUCCUGUGAUUCACCUCUACUCAGCUUCUCAGAUUCUGAAGAAAUCAGAAAUAGCUGAGAAAUAUUGGGGUUUCACUUUUAUAAUGGUCCUUCUCAUCCAGGAGGCAUGUUUAGUGAAAUACGAUUCCGUCUCCAUCUUACAUGGUAUGGUGUUUUGCUUCUGUUGUCUGUCAUAUAAAUCAUGGUUCUUUCUCCGUAUUUGGACAGAGUUGUUACUGUGUUGUGUCAAUCAUGUGUUGUUGUAGCAUAAUGACUGGUAAAGCUGUGGAAAUUGACUCUGGCUUACUUUUGGUAAAAACAGGUGCAAGCAGUGCUCUUAUUAUUGGGGGGAUGCGACAUUCCUACUGCUGUGCCCACUGUUGAACUUCCAUUCGACAACAAGGUAUUCUAUUCAAAUUCUAUAACUUGCACUACAUAGUUUGAUGAUACUUUUGGAUGAUCAGUAUUAUUUUUAGGUUGAGGAUUUGCCAAAGCAAGCUAAUCUUUCGAAAAGAUUUGCCUCCUUGGUUAGGUUCCGAGAGAAGCGAAAGGAGAGAUGUUUUGACAAGAAAAUUAGAUAUAGUGUCAGGAAAGAGGUUGCUCAAAGGUAAAUGAUAUGCCUUGUUUCCAUUUUUUGGUUUUCUUUGAGACUUUAACCUGGCAAUGAUAUUUGAUAAUGUGAAAUUGUCACUUACAAACAAAUGAAUAAAAGAUGACAUUGGUAAUAUAAAUUGCUGUCAGCACGCUUUCUUUGAUAUUUAUUCAACAAACCCUUUCAUAUCCAAGUGUUAGUACCAUGGUAUCAAUGUCAUUUUCUGACCAAUUUAACAUGAUGUUUGUUUGUCCUCAAUUUUCGUUCAUCUUUGAUUUUUUAGGAGUACUUCUUUGAUGGAAUUCACCUAAUAAUGUACUUGCAAUAUCAGUCCUUAUGAUGUCGUGUCAUCAGCUAAAUGCUGAUCUCUUCACUUACAUUUAGUAUAAGGAUCCUGUCUGUAUCAUUGGUUUCUCAUGCAAAGAUUUUGCAUAUAUUAGAUGGUGUAGUAUUCAUCCAAACUGAAAAUGAGAAGGACAAUAAUUUUGAUUGGAAUUGGUUGUUAGCUUUUUUAUAAAAGAAGAAAUAUGGACUUGGUCAAUUUGUUUUGUAAAUGUAGAAUUUAAAGAAUUUAUCCCUGGAAGUGUAUGUCUAAGUGAAAACCAGAGUCUGAUUUCUGUUUAAACAUGUUUUGAAGGACUGAAACAUAACUUCUUUUUUUUCGCAUCCCAAAAAAAAUAUAUAUAUUCUGGCAAAAUUUAGAAGCAAUUUAUUUUCUAAAUUAAUUAGAAGCAUUUUUUGAUACAGAUAUCAAGGUUUUGAGUAAUGAACUUACUUGGCCACAUGUAUAUUAGGAUGCAUAGGAAAAAUGGUCAAUUUGCAUCUUUGAAAUCAAGUUCUG
rnacentral:lncRNA from 1 species